GGGGUUUUUUGUAGCAGCGUUCCUGCCACCAGCUUUGUAAGGGUCAAAAGGUGGGUGGUGUCAGCAGCAUCUUUAAGCUGUUGUUAUUUUUGUUGUUAGUGUGACCCUGGAUGGGUGAAGCAUGGCUCUGGAACCAGCAGCAGCAGCAGCAGCAGCAAUAUCUUCCUAAUCCCUAGGUCAUUCCCAGAGCAAACCGUUCAGGGGGAAGCUUACUGAUUUCCGGUCCUCUGACUCAGGCAGAGUUGGCAGCUUCCUUCAGGGCCGAUUCUUCAUUGUUCCCUGUCAGCAAGUCCUGGAGGCCUGGCCUCAACACAUAGUUGGUUCCAUAUCUUGGCUGUUGUGAAUAGAACUGCAGUGAACAUGGAAGUGCGAACAUCUCUUCAACAUACAGAUUUCAUUCUUUUGGAUGUAUACCCAGAAGUGAGAUUGCUGGAUCAUAUGAUAAGAACUCUUAAGUGCUGAGAGCUUAAAUAACUUACCUAAGGACACACAACUCAUAUGUGGAAGCUCCUACACAUCCUUUGGAUCUCUGAUAAAGAGUCAUAUACUUAAAGAGCCAUCCUCACAUUCCUGCCCAGACUGUGAGCUGCAUGAGAGAGGACAUGUCUCGUUUUGUUCCAUUACAUCUCCAGCACUUAAGAGUGCUGGACACAUAACGAGUACCUGACACAUAACGAGUGCUGAAUAAAUGUUUGUUAACUGAUGAAA